UUAUACAUUGAAGUAACAAAAUUAUUAAAAUGGUAUAAAAUCAAGCAAGCAUUGUUAAUACAAAAGUUUACAUAAAUGAGGACAAUGUGCGAACGUAGAAUCGUCUGCAUUUCAAUCAGCAUAAGCUGUUUAAUUUUGUUCUAUUUUAUUUUCUUUGUGUCUAUGAUUUUAAAAAUAUACAUCCAGCUGGUAUAUGUGCUCUUUGGAUUCUUAGCUACGGUUUGCCUGUUGUAUGGAGCAAGUAGGGUAAGAAUGUUAUAUUUUCUUUCCAGUAAUACUAAAAAAGCCGAUCAAAUUUAUUUCCAGGAAAACCUCAAAUAUCUCCAAGCUUGUUUUUGGCUUAUGCUUAUAGCAAUUAUUUGGGCCAUACUAGUAUCUCUCAAGCGAAUCGUAGAAACAACUGGAAAAAGGAAGGCUUAUGUUUAUGAUGCCAUUGUGAUAGUUUCCGCAAUUGCUUUGAUCGUAUGUGACUGGGUUGUAUACAAAUUUGCUAAGGAAGUAAAUCAGAGAUGAUAAGAAAUGUUCUUGUAUCCGUUGGAAAACAUUGAAAUUACUUGUAUUUUCAGAGCUCUCAACUGAAUGUGAGUCAUGAUACCACCUCUAGAGACCAUAUGGUUUAUUAAGAACCCGACCCAGCCCUAGUUUUAUUCAAACAAUAAAUAAAUAUUCCCCAAAAA